AAAAAAAGAAAGAAAAGAAAAGAAAAGAAAAAAAGAAAAACAUAAACUGCUCUGCCUCCUCCCCAACUGGCCGCCACUGAACGAUGAGCAGCUAGCACCACAGUGGUUUAGCACCCAUGAAUGAAGACUCACCAGUGCACUCCACAAGGCGAACCUGGAGUUCAGAGAGGCUAAGUUAGUGGUGACGGCCACACAGCCAAUGAGAGCAGAGCGGGAGGAGAGCCCAGGGCCCUCCCAGGCCAUUCCAAACUCCAUCUCCUGGACAGACACCACCUGCUGUUUGCCAUCUUCCCCGGACUAUGAGUUUUUUGAGAGAUGAAUCCUGCAAUAUGUAUCUUUCUUUGCCCAGGCCUGGCCCAGCAUCCAGACUUUUUGAAGCCCCCUGGCAUAAAGUAGGUUGAGCUGAGCUCACUGGUUCCAUCGCUAGCUCUUUACUCAUCUGGCAAAGAGAAGAAGCAGCAGACCACGGGUGGAAAUACAGACACGCCCACCCUCCCGUCAACAGCACGAGGUGUACACAGCGAUGUACGUGUGAACCCACCCGCACCGAGGCCCAGAGAUCUGCACAGAAGAGUGAGAUGAACUCUGUCUCUGCAAUCGCAAGUACGCAGAAGUGCCGACGGCCCAACCAGGGUUGGUGGCUGGGGUCAGAAGUAACCUCCAAGCAGCAGGCUGGCUGCACAGUGAGAUUCUGAUGGCAGCAGGGCUGGCGUUGAAGAUGACCCCUGCAUGUCCUCUCCUGAGAGGGGAGAACCAUCACCCUGUUUUACACAGGGGGCAGCUGAGGCACAUCAUGCUUAUAAUUUGCCACGGCAAGCACAGCACAAGAUUCAAACCCAGUCUGAGUAAUGCCAGCCUCCGGGCUGCUUUCUCUAUGUCUCUGACUCUCGGGCAUAUUUGGCUUCCGUCUCCCCAUUCAUCAGUCCACAGAAUGGAGCCUCCUGCCCACUCCCCUGAGCUGACCUUCAGUCCUCUGUAGCUGGGUGGGACUGCAGAGGUGGAGGCUCUCACGUCCCUCACCACCACUUAGGUAGGGAGGCAGGCUGGGGAUGCAGCAGGGCUCCUGUCUCGGGCCUGGCUCUCUGCAGUCCCACUUCUCCGGUUGUGAGGAUGGAUGUCAGACUUCAAAGGCAGCAGCGCACUGUCUCACCAGACCCCGGCCCAUGAGAAAGUGCCUAAGUCCCAGAACAAAGGCCGUUCCAGACUCACAUCACCUGCUGGGCACUUAGCACGGGGCUUAAUUAAAGGAAACAGAGCUUGUGCGAGGGAGAGCGAGGAGUGAGUGAGAAAGUCGAUAACACUAAAGCCGCCGCCAUUAAUAGAGCCAGACUCGCUGCUAAUAUCCCACUCGAAUUCAAAACAGGACAAGUAAUUGGAAAUCUGAGCAGUUGGGGCGGUGGGGCUGGUGGGGCAGAUGACAGAGACCUGGCAGCUGUGGGAGACCUUCUGAAUGGGGUGAGGUGGCAGGCACAAAAGCUCCUGGCCUAGCCCGUCCUGGAGGACAGGGCCUUCCCCUGGGCAGAGGGCCACAGGCUGAGACUGAAGUACGUCAGCCACUGUUCUCAGUUCUUUACAAACACUAAUUCAAUUUAACCCCAAAAAAUCUCUUAGAGCUAGCUGCAGCCUGGUGGUUAAGGUGGCUGGAUCCCACUUGACGGUGCAGUUCGAGUCCUAAA